CCUACGGGUGGCUGCAGUGGGGAAUAUUGCACAAUGGGGGAAACCCUGAUGCAGCAACGCCGCGUGAGUGAAGAAGUAUUUCGGUAUGUAAAGCUCUAUCAGCAGGGAAGAAGAUUACGGUACCUGAUUAAGUAGCCCCGGCCAACUACGUUCCAGCAGCCGCGGUAAAACGUAGGGGGCAAGCGUUAUCCGGAUUUACUGGGUGUAAAGGGGGCGUAGGCGGCAGUGCAAGUCUGGAGUGAAAGCCGGGGGCCCAACCCCGGAACUGCUUUGGAAACUGUGCGGCUGGAGUGAUGGAGGGGCAGGCGGAAUGCCGAGUGUAGCGGUGAAAUGCGUAGAUAUUAGGAGGAACACCAGUGGCGAAGGCGGCCUGCUGGACAGUAACUGACGCUGAGGCGCGAAAGCGUGGGGAGCAAACAGGAUUAGAUACCCCUGUAGUC
rnacentral:rRNA from 1 species